rnacentral:ncRNA from 1 species
UAUUUAUAACACCGAGCUAUCACAGCUAACAUUACUGUACUUUUGGCUAAAUAAAAUCUGCUGAUUGCCAGUAAUCAUGCUGAGACACGCCGUAACUAAGUCCAUGGCUAUCAUGGUUUUUAGUUGCCAGGGUUAACAAGGAAACACGUUAGCCUCCCUACAUUUGGAAAGGUGACAUGUUAA